AUUGAACGCUGGCGGCAGGCCUAACACAUGCAAGUCGAACGAGUGGCGGACGGGUGAGUAAUGUCUGGGAAACUGCACGACGGAGGGGGAUAAGUACUGGAAACGGUAGCUAAAACCGCAUACCACCGGAUGUGCCCAGACUGGAUUAGCGAGUGGGUGGGGUAACGCCUAACCUAGGCGACGAUCCCUAGCUGGUCUGAGAGGGGUACCGGCCACACUGGAACUGAGACACGGUCCAGACUCCUACGGGAGGCAGCAGUGGGGAAUAUUGCACAAUGGGCGAAAGCCUGAUGCAGCCAUGCCGCGUGUGUGAAGAAGGCCUUCGGGUUGUAAAGUCCUGUCAGCGCAGAGGCGUUACUCACAGAAAAAGCACCGGCUAACUCCGUGCCAGCAGCCGCGGUAAUAC
rnacentral:rRNA from 1 species